rnacentral:tRNA from 1 species
GACCGAAUGGCGUAGUGGUUAGUGACCCUGACUGCUAUGCCGAAGGUCCCGGGAUCGAUUCCCGGUUGGGGCA